rnacentral:rRNA from 1 species
GUUCGAUUCUGGCUCAGAUUGAGCGCUGGCGGGAUGCUACGGCAUGCAAGUCAGACGGCGGCACGGACUUCGGUCUGGUGGCGAGUGGCGAACGGGUGAGUAAUGUAUCGGAACGUGCCUGAAGUAGCGGGGAUAACUACGCGAAAGCGUAACUAAUACCACAUACGCCGGGGGGGAAAGCAGGGGACCUUCGGGCCUCGCACUAUUAGAGCAGCCGAUAUCGGAUUAGCUAGUUGGUGGGGUAACGGCUCACCAAGGCGACGUCCGUAGCUGGUUUGAGGACGACCAGCCACGCUGGGACUGGGUACAGCCCAGACUCCUACGGGAGGCAACGGUGGGGAAUUUACGGACAAUGGAAACCCUGAUCCAGCCAUCCGCGUGUGCGAUGAAGACCUUCGGGUUGUAAAGCACUUUUGGCAGGAAAGAAACGGCACGGGAUAAUACCCCGUGCAACUGACGGCCCGCCUGCAGAAUAAGCACCGGCUAACUACGUGCCAGCAGCCGCGGUAAUACGUAGGGUGCAAGCGUUAAUCCGGAAUUACUGGGCGUAAAGCGUGCGCGAGCCGGUUCGGAAAGAAGAUGUCGUGAAAUCCCAGAGCUUAACUUUGGAGCAUUUUUUUAACUACCGAGCUAGAGUGUGUCAGAGGGAAAUUGGAGGUGCUCCGCGAUGGCAGUGAAAUGCGUAGAUAUGCGGAGGAACACCGAUGGCGAAGGCAGCCUCCUGGGAUAACACUGACGCUCAUGCACGAAAGCGUGGGAGCAAACAGGAUUAGAUGCCCUGGUAGUCCACGCCCUAAACGAUGUCAACUGGCUAUUUGGGGCCUUCGGGCCUUGGUAGCGCAGCUAACGCGUGAAGUUGACCGCCUGGGGAGUACGGUCGCAAGAUUAAAACUCAAAGGAAUUGGGCGGGGACCCGCACAAGCGGUGGAUGAUGUGGAUUAAUUCGAUGCAACGCGAAAAACCUUACCUACCCUUGACAUGUCUGGAAUCCCGAAGAAGAGAUUUAGGGAGUGCUCGCAAGAGAACCGGAACACAGGUGCUGCAUGGCUGUCGUCAGCUCGUGUCGUGAGAUGUGGGUUAGAACCGCAACGAGCGCAACCCUUGUCAUUAGUUGCUACGAAAGGGCACUCUAAUGAGACUGCCGGUGACAAACCGGAGGAAUGGGGAUGACGUCAAGUCUCUGGCCCUUAUGGGUAGGGCUUCCGUCAUACAAUGGUCGGGACAGAGGGUCGCCAACCCGCGAGGGGGAGCCAAUCCCAGAAACCCGAUCGUAGUCCGGAUCCUGCAGUCUGCAACUCGACUGCGUGAAGUCGGAAUCGCUAGUAAUCGCGGAUCAGCAUGUCGCGGUGAAUACGUUCCCGGGUCUUUAACACAACGCGUCACACCAUGGAGUGGGUUUUACCAGAAAAUCGAUUCGCUAACCGUAAGAGGCGAUUACCACGGUAGGAUUCAUGACUGGGGUGGUAACAAGGUAA